AUUGAACGCUGGCGGCAGGCCUAACACAUGCAAGUCGAGCGGAGCGGCGGACGGGUGAGUAAUGCCUAGGAAUCUGCCUGGUCGUGGGGGAUAACGUCCGGAAACGGGCGCUAAUACCGCAUACUAUCAGAUGAGCCUAGGUCGGAUUAGCUAGUUGGUGGGGUAAAGGCCUACCCAGGCGACGAUCCGUAACUGGUCUGAUCGGAUGAUCAGGCAAACUGGAACGGAGACACGGUCCAGAAUCCUACGGGAGGCAGCAGUGGGGAAUAGUGGACAAGGGGCGAAAGCCUGAGGCAGCCAUGCCGCGUGUGUGAAGAAGGUCUUCGGAUUGUAAAGCACUUUAAGUUGGGAGGCGUUACCAACAGAAUAAGCACCGGCUAACUGCGUGCCAGCAGCCGCGGUAAUUC
rnacentral:rRNA from 1 species